GAAGCAGAAUGUAUAUACAUAAUAAAUAAAUAAAUAAAAUCUUUAAAAAAAAUACUUCAAAAGAGGGGCGGUGCCCUAGGAAGAUGGGUCUUUGGAUAAAGUGUUUGCAGUGCAAGAAUAAGGACUGGCUGGCAUGGUGGUGGACACCUUUAACCCCAGCACUCAAGAGGCAGAAACAGGCAGGUCUCUGUAAGUUCAAUACCAGCCUAGUCUAUAUAUUGAGCUCCAGGUCAGCUAAGUCUAUAUAGUGAAACCUUGUCUCAAAAAGUAAAAAGAAAACGCCUAAAUAAAUAAGCAAAAUGACUGGAAUACAGAUUCCCAGAACCUAUGUAGAAGCCAGGCAAGCAUAGUGGACAUAUGUAACCCCAGAGUUCCAGAGGCUGAGAAAAGGGGUCCUUGGAGCAAACUGACUGGCUAAACUCACUGGAAUCAGUGAGCUCCAAGUUCAGUGAGAGACUCUGCUUCAGUCAAUAAAGUGAGAAGCAAUUGCAAAAGAUGAUGGCUAUUGUCAACUUUGGGAACACACAACACAUACACACACACACACACACACACACACACACACACACACCCCAAAACAAACAAAACCAAAUAGACCCCUAACCAACCAACCAUGAAACAAUAACAAAUGAGGCUGUUGAUAAUGUUUCAAAUUGAAACCAUAACUUCUUGGAUUUAUUUAGGUCUGAUUAUUCAAGUUUGACUUUCCUUUACUCAGGUAAAAAUUCUCUCCUGCACUUGCUGAGGUCGGAGGGAAGUUCCUGGCACUUGUUAUGCAAAGGGUUUCAAUAGCAUCACUAACCAAGCUAGGAAACCAAAUGACAAUGGGCUGGAGAGCCAACAUACAUGAUGUGUGUCUGUGUGUGUGUGUGUAUCUUUUCUUCUUUUUUUCAGGAGAAUCUUUGAAGGCAGGUCAUUUCUGCAAUGAUCUCAGGCUUGCUGAAGUCAUUUGUAUUAAGAAUCUGAAACUGUGACUCCUUGGCACACUUACUUUACUUUGUGUGACAAUGCAGUGUUUUUUGGGUCCAUAAUUCUGUGGAUCUGCUUGAGGUGAAAAUUAAAAUCAUUGUCCACAAUUUAUCUUGCUUGUCAGGAAUCGGGGCCAAGAGCUUUUUAGCUGUGGAGUGGCAGUCUGUUCCUGUAGGAUGGAUGACAUCAUGCUUUGUGGGAUGAUUUCAUUUGGGUCCUUUUGGAUCUAUUGAAGAGCAAACUCAGGCUUGGGAGGGAGGGAAACCACACACACACAGCACUCGUUGACUCUUUGUGUACUGAAGCCCUUAGAAGUUGAUUGGCAGGGUCAAGUGGCCACUGUUCAGAGUGUGACAAGCCUUGUUAAUUGGCUCUUUGCUGAGGAAAAUCUCACAUGAGAAUUUUUUUUAGAGAACCUGUUCUAGUGGGUGCUUCUGAACGGUGUGUCAUGCCUCAGGGGUACCUCUAUGAACAGCCUGCAGUCCCUCAGGGGUACCCCGAUGCAACCAAAACUUCCCCUGGCCACUUGAGGCUUUGAGACCCUGGUCUCCUGGGACAUUGCAUUUCCAAAAUGUAGCCACACUAGGGACAAAGCGGGUGCUGAGAGGAAAGGUCUUAUUUAAACAAGUUGGCCUGAAAUCAGUUUUUACAUGUCCCCUGGAUCAGUUAAACUCUUCCCUGGGAGUUCGUGCUGUGCAUUCCAAGUGAUUUCUGUGCCUUGGGGAUACUCACCAGAGAAACUCUCUACAUUCCAGGCCGAAAGGUAAAGCUCUGGCUUCCCUGCACGGUAAGACUACAGGACAACCUCCUAGGAAAGAUGAAGCAACACCUGCCCGCAGACGCGUGAAAUGAGAGGGGAAGGAGACCCACAGCCUCAAAGAGAGGAGCUGAGCCUCAGGAAACCCUGUGAGAGGGCUGGGAAGAGUGACAGACUGUGCUAAUGGGAUUAAGUUUUGUCCCUCCCUUGCGAUUCAGAAGCCCUAACCCUCACCAACCAGAAACUAGCAGAAAUGUGGCUGUACUUGGAGACAGGGUAGAUUAGGGUACCCCUAAUCUCAUCUAUUCUGAUUGCAGUCCUCAUAAAGAGGGGAGAUCAGUACAAAACACACUCAGAGGAAGAUGGGCGAGGGUGGCUAGUUUCAAGCAUCAGAAGAAACAGCCUCUGCCAACACCCUGACCUCAGGCUUCCAACUCUCCACUUCUGUGUUGUGGUGUUCCGUGGCUACCCUGGCAGACUAACGCACGCUGCGAUGAAAAGGUGACCUGUAAGAGCCUCCUUGGCCAGUGACCAUGCUUUACUCACACCACUCUUCCAUGUAGCUGGUGUAUACUUGUGUCCUGGCCAUUGUGUCACCGAACAGCAGUGACAUGUGUUCUUUAUAAGGUGCUAUCAUUUGUCUCCAUCUGCUACACACGUAGGAAUUGUCAACUGUUACUCCUCAAUCCACUCAGAUUGCUCUCUUUAAAGUUCACCGUCUGAGCCCCUUUCUUUAAUCUGUGCAUUUAAAUCGCUGAUGCCUGUGUGGUCUAGCUGUGCUUCAUAAAGUGGCGUUGGGGCAUGUUUAUCUCCUUGACUCCGAAAGUCAAGGGUGAGAGUUAUUGUUGAAUUCCCGCUUUCUGCCAUACUCUUCAAGCCUGGCAGACACUUGGGGAGGCUGAUAAGCAGGGAGUUCUUUAUGUGGAAAGGUUCUGUAUAGGAAUACGGAGAUGUCCUUUGUGGCCCAGAAUACGUGUUAAUAGCACAAUUCAUUAUUCUUUCCAUGUCUUUAAGUGAACAUAAAAGGCAAAGAAGGGGAUGAAAAUAAUUUGAUGUAUUAGUAUCUCCAGGAGCAUGCAUAGUCUUUAUGGAGCCCCUUACAGUCUCUCCUUCUGGAAUUAGGAGAGUGUACAAUCUGUCAUAAUCAUUUAUUUGGAGGUGCAGAGAAAAUGAUAGGAGGCCGAGAUGAUGGUCUUCCCCCACUCAGCGGCAAAGGCAGCUAUUAUAACUAAGUUAUGGUAUUGUAUACUUCCAAAGUUAGGCACUGGGGAAACCUGGUUUCUACGAUGGCAUUAUGGAAGGUCCACUGUUUGUUUGUCCAACCCUGGAAUGCAGACUUGACAUGUAGUUCUCAUUCAAAACAGGUGUGAGUGAGUGAAUGAAUGAAUGAAUGACUACAUGCAAGAAAUUAGCCGUUGGGCGGGAUCUGAUUCUCUGACCCUCUCUGCUUUGGGAGAACAAGAGGAGGAGCCAUCACUGCCCUCGGAACACGGAGUAACACCUAUAGGGGAUGUCGGGGAACUAGUAACUCCCGUGUGACUGCUCCUCUUUCCAUGAACAUGGCACUCAGGAGUACAAUAUGGCCCAAGAAGUGAUGCUCAGCCACUGAGGGACUCGCAGCUAUCCAAAGCCAGUCGCUAUGUCCAGGUUUGAACUGGUUUACACAUAAACUCUUGGGUAUCUGUGUUCAUACUCUUCAUGCUUUUUAGUUUACUCUUGAGAGUUGGCAAAGCUUCUCAGGCGACCAGGCGUCAUCAUGAAGCCGUUUGAAGCAUCCUGGAGGACGCUUAGGCCGUUGCUCAGGUCUCCAAAGGGAAUCAAUCGGGUUUACAUUUCCUUCUGAUGCAGGGCCCAGGGGCAGCCUGUGUUCUUGGAACACCUUGGGAUGCAAGGACACCUCAGACAAUCAUCUACCUCAGUAGAGGAUUUAUGCACCUUCUCCUGUUUCUGACUCGGGGACUCAUUUUGUAUGCCUCACCUCGCACAGCCUGAGUGCAAACUGGUCAUUCACGAACGAGGCCUCCUCGGGUUUCCUACGCCGAGAGAGGCUGCGAUUCUUAAGACUCUUAGACCACUUCCUAUUUGCCGCUUGUAAAUAAAGUACUUCCUGGAGGCGCACGGA